rnacentral:piRNA from 2 species
UGAAGUUUGUUUUCCUUCUGGGUUG